rnacentral:tRNA from 1 species
UGGGGCGUGGCCAAGUGGUUAAGGCAGCGGGUUUUGAUCCCGCCAUCGCAGGUUCGAAUCCUGCCGCCCCAGCCA